GGCCGGUUGGCCCAAUGGUAAGGCGUCUGACUACGAUAUUCUUGCACAGGAUUGCUGUAAUCAGGAGAUUCUGGGUUCGAGCCCCAGGCUGGUCA
rnacentral:tRNA from 1 species